AGCUCCAAUAGCGUAUAUUAAAGUUGUUGCGGUUAAAAAGCUCGUAGUUGGAUUUCUGCUGAGGACGAACGGUCCGCCCUCAGGGUGAGCAUCCGGUUUCGGCCUUUGCAUCUUCUUGGUGAACGUAUCUGCACUUGACUGUGUGGCACGGUAUACAAGACUUUUACUUUGAGGAAAUUAAAGUGUUUCAGGCAGGCAUACGCCUUGAAUACAUUAGCAUGGAAUAAUAGGAUAAGACCUCGG
rnacentral:rRNA from 1 species